rnacentral:lncRNA from 1 species
GUCCCUGGCCUGCGGUUUAGAGGUUCUCAGAGGCGGCUCUUGGGCCAGUCCAGUCGAUCUGCAGUUUUGGGAAAUAAAACGCUUUUUAAAGGGUUCUAUUGUUCUCUCCACGUACCCGCCUGGCUCUCCAUGGAACGUCUCAAAUAGAAAGUGACUGGCCUUUAAUUGGAGUGGUCGAUCAUUUUGCAGUAAGUCCAACCGGCCUCACAACCGCAGACCACGUGCAACCACACCAGCCACAUCCGGCUUCUUCACCUGCGGGAUCGUCUGAGACCAGCCACACGGACAGCUGAUGAAACUGAGGAGUAUUUAUAUCUGUAAUAAAGACAUUUUCGAGCAACAACAAAAAAAUCUGAUUGGCUGGGCCUGGCUCCCCAGUAUGUGGGCCUAUGCCCUCCCAGGUCCACCCAUGGCUGCCUCCCUGCCCAGUCAUGUUACAUUUAUUUCAAUUGACUGAUUUCCUUGUAUGAACUAUAACUCAGUAAAAUCGUUGAAAUUGUUGGAUGUUGG